UGUAUAAAGUAUUUAACCACAAUGGUCAUCUAUUGUAAUUUAAUAUGAAAAGACAUAACUAUGAGAUGUGAGUAACCUGAAAGACCAAAUACGGCCUGUGUGUAACCUGCAGGAAUAACUAUGAAUUGAUCAAGAAUGCCCUGUUCCUAGCAUGUUAAACGUUCAUGAUUCUCAGAGGAGUGCAGAGGAUUUAGAAAGAAAUUCCACAUGUGUGUGGCCUGUCAUUUCCACCCAGCACUGCCUGUUUCUCUGCUGCACCAAGUCUUGUUGACACACAGGCUUGACCAUAGCUCGCACACUCCAUUCCCAGCGCAGUUGAGCUCAACUACCCACGGUGUGGGGAACAGGAUGGAGCAGUUGGCUGCAGCCUGUCUCAGGCAGAUAACCGGGAAAAUAGGAGAUUCAUCUCAUCUUCUUUUUCCCCUACACUAAAAAUGCUGAAUAUUACACGAAGGCUCUGACUUAUCCAGAAGACUGGAACAAAAGAAAACUUUUUUCUGUAAUUAGUUGAUGUUGGAUGAAAAUAAAUAAAUAAAGCUAUA